rnacentral:lncRNA from 1 species
UAUAACUUGACAAAUUUUUAAUAUUUUAUUUUCUUUUUUAAAACAUAUUAAAUCUGAAAUAACUAAAUCAUAUUGGUUGGUGAAACUACGGGUUUACCUUAGGGGUGAACCUACGAGUAAUAAACUUCCAAAGUUUAAUUUUCUUUAAAAGAAAACGGAAAUAAACUUCCAAAGUUUAAUGACUCAUUCAGUUAUUUUUCUUUUCAUGUCGACAACUUGUUCCUUUUUACCG